rnacentral:lncRNA from 1 species
AUGAGAGGUGUCAAAGACAUCUUGAGAAAUCAAAAAACUGGUAAAACUGUGGAAAUCAGCACCUUGGAGUCUGUCUUGGCUGAUAUGGGGCUUUUCCUAACUCAGGAUGAGGUACAGCAGGCUCUCGGUCAGACAACAGUGAAUAAGGAUGGGAAUGUGGAUUUGAAAGACUUCAUGUGGGCUAUCCAGAGUAUCCCCAGUAUGCAAGACAAACAAGUGCAAGUUGAUAACUUGGAUGCUGUACUGGGUGGCAUGGGGAUCUACCUAAACCAAGAAGAACUGCAGGAUGCACUGAAGCUGACAAAGCAUUAUGAGAAUGAGAUGGUGAAUUUGAAAGAUUUCAUCAGGGCUUGCAAUGCCACACUAACCCUCUCCGGCAUUGAUGGUGAGUAUUUUUAA